AGGGGAAGCUAAGUACCCAUUUGCGCAGCAUCGCCACGCACAAUGACUCAUAUGUGGGACGCACGUUGCGUCGUCGACUUUCCGUCGUCGACUUUCCAUCGUCGGUGCCGUCAACGUGUCGCGGAUGGCGGCGUUUCGUUAUCGCGUUUAGCAUUUUCGCGUCAUCGCGUUUUCGCGUUGGACUUUCUCGCAAUCCCAGUUUCAUUUAUUUGCUAUCGAGUUGUCAUUUUCCGAUGCCAAUUAACCGGGAUGUCUAAUUGAGUCGUUGCAACGUUCUCACGCCUCGAGCGUCGUGGCAUGAGGUGAUGCCAGCCGCGUAGAACGUAUGUCCAGUACCUAUGUAUUAUUACAUGGGUGCGCGGUUUUCAGCUUCUGCUCAAGUCCGGCUGAUUGAGGUCACGUUCUGCUUCGGGCUCUAGUUCAGUACGAAUCGAUUAGAAUUCGAUCGAUUGCUUGGAAUCGUCAUUAAUGGAUCUCUUGUGCCGUCUAACAGCGUGUGUAACCUAUUGAGACCUUGUCGAGUGGAUUCCUUAGGCACCAUUUUCGCUCGAAAGAGGUUGCUUCCCCAUUUUCUAAAUUGCUGAUUGUUAGCAAAAAAUGUGAGUAUCCUCAUUCUUUCGUCGUCUAUUCUGCCUUAGAAGAUCCACGUUCGAUAUGAAAUAGGGUAUUAUGCGCAGACAAGAGUCGAGUGAAUCCCAAUCGCGUUGAUUCCAUCAAUCGAUAGUUUUCUUCCGUUUCGAACUUAACUAGUUCGGAGGUUGUUGAAUUCCCAACUUCGGAGGUAACGUUGAAUUCCCGACUUGUUGACUCGAAGAUGAUUAUCGUAAUUGAAAUGGGAUUUUCGCUCAUACCGAAACCGGGAGUGCCGUCCAAAGUAUAUAUGUAUUAAGUAUAUACAUCGCGCGACCAAAUAUAAAAUUUUUAAUCGCUCUGAAACAGUGCGGGAACCGUUUAGUAUCGCGCGUAAAAGUGCGGAAAUAGCGAUAGAAAUAUCGCACGUGAGUGCGGGAGAAUCGAUAAAAGUAUCGCGCGUCUAAAACUGAGAGAAGGAGGAGGCCUAGGAAAGGCAUCGGGCAUCGAUAGAGCAAUCUUCUGAUCAAUAAUCUGUUGUAAGAGGAGGAGGAAUCCUGUAUUGGUGGAGCAACCUGAAGAGCACUAGAAUCAAUUCCACUGCGAAUCGGUCGG